CAAAAAAUAGUUUAAUUAAAAUUGUGGCUUUGGAAGCUACAGAUGAGACAGCUCUUUUUUGA
rnacentral:tRNA from 1 species